rnacentral:rRNA from 1 species
AUGCACGCUGGCGGCGUGCCUAAUCCAUGCAAGUCGAGCGAACAGACGAGGAGCUUGCUCCUUUGACGUUAGCGGCGGACGGGUGAGUAACACGUAGGUAACCUACCUAUAAGACUGGGAUAACUUCGGGAAACCGGAGCUAAUACCGGAUAAUAUUUCGAACCGCAUGGUUCGAUAGUGAAAGAUGGCUUUGCUAUCACUUAUAGAUGGACCUGCGCCGUAUUAGCUAGUUGGUAAGGUAACGGCUUACCAAGGCAACGAUACGUAGCCGACCUGAGAGGGUGAUCGGCCACACUGGAACUGAGACACGGUCCAGACUCCUACGGGAGGCAGCAGUAGGGAAUCUUCCGCAAUGGGCGAAAGCCUGACGGAGCAACGCCGCGUGAGUGAUGAAGGUCUUCGGAUCGUAAAACUCUGUUAUUAGGGAAGAACAAACGUGUAAGUAACUGUGCACGUCUUGACGGUACCUAAUCAGAAAGCCACGGCUAACUACGUG